rnacentral:rRNA from 1 species
AACGAACGCUGGCGGCAGGCUUAACACAUGCAAGUCGAGCGCCCCGCAAGGGGAGCGGCAGACGGGUGAGGAACGCGUGGGAAUCUACCCAUCUCUACGGAAUAACGCAUGGAAACGUGUGCUAAUACCGUAUACGUCCUUCGGGAGAAAGAUUUAUCGGAGAUGGAUGAGCCCGCGUUGGAUUAGCUAGUUGGUGGGGUAAAGGCCUACCAAGGCGACGAUCCAUAGCUGGUCUGAGAGGAUGAUCAGCCACACUGGGACUGAGACACGCCCCAGACUCCUACGGGAGGCAGCAGUGGGGAAUAUUGGACAAUGGGCGCAAGCCUGAUCCAGCCAUGCCGCGUGAGUGAUGAAGGCCCUAGGGUUGUAAAGCUCUUUCACCGGUGAAGAUAAUGACGGUAACCGGAGAAGAAGCCCCGGCUAACUUCGUGCCAGCAGCCGCCGUAAUAC